rnacentral:rRNA from 1 species
AUUGAACGCUGGCGGCAGGCUUAACACAUGCAAGUCGAGCGGAGAGAGGUAGCUUGCUACUGAUCUUAGCGGCGGACGGGUGAGUAAUGCUUAGGAAUCUGCCUAUUAGUGGGGGACAACAUUUCGAAAGGAAUGCUAAUACCGCAUACGUCCUACGGGAGAAAGCAGGGGAUCUUCGGACCUUGCGCUAAUAGAUGAGCCUAAGUCGGAUUAGCUAGGUGGUGGGGUAAAGGCCUACCAAGGCGACGAUCUGUAGCGGGUCUGAGAGGAUGAUCCGCGACACUGGGACUGAGACACGGCCCAGACUCCUACGGGAGGCAGCAGUGGGGAAUAUUGGACAAUGGGCGCAAGCCUGAUCCAGCCAUGCCGCGUGUGUGAAGAAGGCCUUAUGGUUGUAAAGCACUUUAAGCGAGGAGGAGGCUACUUUAGAUAAUACCUAGAGAUAGUGGACGUUACUCGCAGAAUAAGCACCGGCUAACUCUGUGCCAGCAGCCGCCGUAAUAC